UAGAUGCGAGAGUAGAGCAUAUCAAUAAGCGGAGGAAAAGAAACUAACAAGGAUUCCCUUAGUAACGGCGAGUGAAGCGGGAAGAGCUCAAAUUUGAAAUCUUCAAGGUUUUACCUUGACGAAUUGUAGUUUAAAGAAGUGUUUUCUGUUGGAGUUUUGGUAAAAGUUCUUUGGAAGUAGGACAUCAUAGAGGGUGAGAAUCCCGUAUUUGACCAUUAUUUCCAGCUGUGUGAUACACUUUCAAAGAGUCGGAUUGUUUGGGAAUGCAGUCCAAAAUGGGUGGUAAAUUUCAUCUAAAGCUAAAUACUGGCGAGAGACCGAUAGCGAACAAGUACCGUGAGGGAAAGAUGAAAAGAACUUUGAAAAGAGAGUUAAACAGUACGUGAAAUUGUCAAAAGGGAAGCGUUUGACACCAGUGUUGUUUUCUCGGAAAAUCAAUUAAAAAUGAUGGGAUUUUGUGUUGUAUUGACUUUAUCAGCUUUCUGCACUUUUUUCUUAUCUUUUUUAAUGCACUUUUCGUUUAACAAGUCAACAUCAAUUUCUUUUGUUGUAAAAGAGUCAUUGGAAGGUGGCUUUUUCUUCGGAAAAAGUGUUUAUAGCCUUUGGCUUCUGCAAUCGGAGAGAUUGAGGUCUGCAGCGUAGAUCCUUCGGGGUUAGAUACAUUUGUGCUAAGCUAUAGUUCUUUAUAGACAACUUGUUGACUAUAAUCAAUCCUGUAACUUACUCGCUUAUGCUAUUUUACCUACGCUUAGGAUGUUGACACACGCGCGUGCUCG
rnacentral:rRNA from 1 species